rnacentral:rRNA from 1 species
CCAAGCUAGUAAGGGCGUGUGGUGGAUGCCUUGGCACUAGGAGGCGAUGAAGGACGUGGCAAGCUGCGAAAAGCCUCGGAGAGUCGCAAGCAGACUUUGAUCCGGGGAUUUCCGAAUGGGGAAACCUGGCAGGGGUAAUGCCCUGUCGUCCCUUACCUGAACACAUAGGGUUUGGGCCGCCAACGGGGAGAAGUGAAACAUCUCAGUACCCCCAGGAAAAGAAAGUAAUAACGACUCCGUUAGUAGCGGCGAGCGAACGCGGAAGAGCCUAAACCAAUGUCAUGUAAGCUCGUGAGCGUUGUGGCAUUGGUGUCGUGGGAGUCACCGUUGCGGGUCACGGACCGCAGGUGGAGUUACCAAGCAUGGAUCUAGUGGAACAAGCUGGAAAGCUUGACCAUAGAGGGUGAAAGUCCCGUACGCGAAAGGUCGCAUGCCUCCACUGGUGGCCACCCGAGUACCGCGGAACACGAGAAAUUCUGUGGGAAUUUGCGAGGACCAUCUCGUAAGGCUAAGUACUCCCUAGUGACCGAUAGCGGACCAGUACCGUGAGGGAAAGGUGAAAAGAACCCCGGUAAGGGGAGUGAAAUAGAACCUGAAACCGCAUGUUUACAAUCGGUGGGAGGACGUUGGCUUCGCGCCUGUCCGACCGCGUACCUUUUGCAUAAUGGGCUGGCUAGUUGUGGUAUGCAGCGAGGUUAAGCUUUUAGGCGAGCCGUAGGGAAACCGAGUCUGAAUAGGGCGUUUAGUUGCAUGCUGCAGACGUGAAGCCGGGUGAUCUAUCCUUGACCAGGGUGAAGCGUGGGUAAAACCACGUGGAGGCCCGAACCAGUGUCGGUUGAAAACGGCUUGGAUGAGUUGGGGAUAGGGGUGAAAGGCCAAUCAAACCCGGGAAUAGCUCGUUCUCCCCGAAAUAGCUUUAGGGCUAGCCUUUGGCGAUGGAUUGCGGAGGUAGAGCACUGGAAGGGCUAGGGGGCCUAUAAGCUUACCGAACCCUACCAAACUCCGAAUGCCGCAUAUCUUAGCCAGGGAGUCAGACUGCGAGGGAUAAGCUCCGUAGUCGAAAGGGAAACAGCCCAGACCGCCAGCUAAGGCCCCUAAGUGCAGGCUAAGUGGAAAAGGAUGUCGAGAUGCACAGACAGCCGGGAGGUUGGCUUAGAAGCAGCCAUCCUUUAAAGAAAGCGUAAUAGCUCACCGGUCGAGUGACUCGGUGCCGAAAAUGUACCGGGGCUAAGCCUGCCGCCGAAGCUGCGGAUUCAUAGGAACUCCGGUUCCUAUGAGUGGUAGGGGAGCGUUCUGUGUUGCUUGAAGUCAGACCGUAAGGACUGGUGGACGGCACAGAAGUGAGACUGCCAGCACGAGUAGCGAUAAAGAGGGUGAGAACCCCUCUCGCCGUAAGUCUAAGGUUUCCUGAGGAAGGUCAGUCCUCUCAGGGUUAGGCGGCCUCUUAGUCGAGGACGAAGGUCGUAGACGAAGGGAAGCAGGUCAACAUUCCUGCCCCGCCUGAAUAACGUUUGACCGAUGGGGUGACGCAGGAGGGUAGCUCAGCCUGCGAUUGGAAGUGCAGGUUGCAAGCAAGUAGCCGGGGGGACCAGGCAAAUCCGGGCCCCCAUUUCAAACGGUGAGAUGUGAUGCCGAGGUCUUCGGACCGCAAAGUGAGUGAUCCCACGCUGCCAAGAAAAACCUCGUAGGGAGUAAUUCAGGCGACCGUACCGCAAACCGACACAGGUAGACAGGGAGAGAAUCCCAAGGCGAACGAGUUAACACUGGUUAAGGAACUCGGCAAAUUGGCUCCGUAACUUCGGGAGAAGGAGCGCCCCGUUAGCGUGAAGGACCUUGCGUCCGGAGCGUGAGGGGGUCACAGAAACCAGGCCCAGGCGACUGUUUACUAAAAACACAGGUCUCUGCAAAGUCGAAGUCGACGUAUAGGGACUGACGCCUGCCCGGUGCCGGAAGGUUAAGAGGACGGGUUAGCCCUCGGGCGAAGCUCAGAAUUGAAGCCCCGGUAAACGGCGGCCGUAACUAUAACGGUCCUAAGGUAGCGAAAUUCCUUGUCGGGUAAGUUCCGACCCGCACGAAUGGCGUAACGAUCUGGGCGCUGUCUCGACCAGUGGCUCGGCGAAACUGAAGUGCCGGUGAAGAUGCCGGCUACCCGCAGCUGGACAGAAAGACCCCGGCACCUUUACUACAACUUAGUACUGGGUUUUGGUAUGUCGUGUGCAGGAUAGGUGGGAGGCUUCGAAACCAGGCCGCUAGGUUUGGUGGAGCCAACCGUGAGAUACCACCCUCGUUAUGCUGGAACUCUAACCCAGGUCCGUUAUCCGGAUCGGGGACAGUGCUUGGUGGGUAGUUUAACUGGGGCGGUUGCCUCCCAAAGGGUAACGGAGGCGCCCAAAGGUUCCCUCAGGCUGUUUGGAAAUCAGCCGCAGAGUGUAAAGGCAUAAGGGAGCUUGACUGCGAGACUGACAAGUCGAGCAGGUGGGAAACCAGGGCUUAGUGAUCCGGCGGUUCCGUAUGGAAGGGCCGUCGCUCAUCGAAUAA